rnacentral:lncRNA from 9 species
CGGGCGGGCUCCCGGCUUUCAGGCUCCGCGCAGGCUACCGGGCGGCAGGGCGCAGACGAGGUGGCGAAGGCGGCGAGCGCGGGGGCGCGGGAAUCCCGGCCAGGCCCAGGGACCAGAGGGCGCUCCCUCCCAGCGCCUGGACCCGGGUGGAGCCAGAGGAGCCAGCAAGUCCGGACUCGCUGAGGGGGCUCCACGCGGGUCCUCCUUCACACAGGUUCUUUGGGGGCUGCCCCUGCCCCUCCCGGAUGGAAGAGGUGCCCUGAGUGUGGGGUUUGGCUCUGGAUGGACCGCGUUCACAUUUGACUGGAGCUCUUGCCAGCUCUGGAAGCUUGGGCAAGCAGCCACCUUCGUUUCAGACCUACCUGCAGAAAGAAGAUGGAAGAUUUAAUCUAGAAUCUGUAUUUCCCUCCCCUUGACCCAUAAACUUCUAAAUAAUAAAAUAAAAUACCUCGGGCUGUUGCCUUCCAGCUUUCCCCCUCCCCUGCCCCUCGUCAGGUGCUGAGGGCUCUGCUGGUUCCUCUGCCUGAAGCUGCUCCCAGACUGAGGGACUGAGGCAGGCCGCCGGGCUGCUAAGAGUGGGGGCUGGUCGUGGGGGUGCUCACCCUCCCGCCCCUCCUGCUCCCCCGCCCCACAUCACACUCUCCUAGCCGGACACCCCCCCAUCACCAGCCUUCCUCAGCUCUCUAGCCUGAUCCCCUCAUCUCAGCCUCAAGUCGGGGCCCUGCUCUUCAAUCUGUAGCUUCUUAGAUCUGUAGGUGGGUGUUUUUCACCAAACUUGGGGAAUUUUUAGCUUUUAUUUCUGAAAAUAUACUUUUCUGCUCAUUUCUCUCCCUCCUUUCCUUCUGAUUCUUUUUAUGUUAAAUUAUCUGACCUCAUCCGCCCAUGGGUCAGUGAGUCUCUGUUCCCUUUUUAAAAUUGUUUUUCUCUCUGGUCUUCGAUGGGAUAAUUUCAUUUGAUCUACGUUCAAGUCCAACAGCCCUUUCUUCUAUAGACUGCAAGCUGCUGUUUUAAGUUUACCCAGCGGAUUUUUAAUUUUAGGUCUUGUAGCUUUCAGUCCUAAAAUUUCCAUUUGGAUCUCUGUUUAUAGUUUCAUUUUCUGCUGAAAUUUCUACAUCUGUUCACUCAUUAUAAGUAUCUUUUCCUUUUAAAUGCCC